UACGUAGGGUGCGAGCGUUAAUCGGAAUUACUGGGCGUAAAGCGCGCGUAGGCGGCUGAGCAUGUCGAGUGUGAAAGCCCCGGGCUUAACCUGGGAACUGCGCUCGAAACUACUUGGCUGGAGUGUGGCAGAGGAAGGUGGAAUUCCACGUGUAGCGGUGAAAUGCGUAGAGAUAUGGAGGAACACCAGUGGCGAAGGCGACUUUCUGGUCUGUAACUGACGCUGAGGCGCGAAAGCGUGGGGAGCAAACAGG
rnacentral:rRNA from 1 species